rnacentral:rRNA from 1 species
UACGUAGGGGGCAAGCGUUGUCCGGAAUCAUUGGGCGUAAAGCGCGUGUAGGCGACUGACUAAGUCCGCUCUGAAAGCCCGGGGCUCAACCCCGGGAGGCGGGUGGAUACUGGUCAGCUCGAGUCCGGAAGAGGAGUGUGGAAUUCCUGGUGUAGCGGUGAAAUGCGCAGAUAUCAGGAGGAACACCAAUGGCGAAGGCAGCACUCUGGGACGGUACUGACGCUGAGACGCGAAAGCGUGGGGAUCAAACAGG